rnacentral:lncRNA from 1 species
ACACGAAUACUUAAAAUAUUAUUUUUAGCACAAAAAUCACAUAAAUAUUAUGACAUGUAUAACUCAAUAUCAAGAUUCAAGAGUCUACAUUCAUUUUAGCACAAUUCAAUCAAACACAAUAAAAAAAACAUCAAUUUUUGGGAUUCAUGCCUAAUUGUUUCGCCAUUUCUAGCCUUUUCUUGGUCAAGCAUAUGCAUCUAUGAGCAAUACAAACAGGUGCCAGAGUAGGAGGACAAUGUGCUUCGCAAUCCUUGGGAUUAUCACAUUCAUGUAUCGCCACCACCUUAAAUGAUGGAAUAUCUGCAACUACAUAAAAAAUUUCAAGUAAUUAAAUAUUUCACAUAUAAUUAUUUCUUUUUUCUCUUUGCUCUAAGAUAUUACAGUUAAAAAGAUAAUCUAGUGUACUAAGCUUCCGCUAUGCGCCGAAUUUCGGGAAGGCCGGACCACAAGGGUCUAGUGUACGCAGUUUUACCCUGCACAUUUGCAAGAGGCUGUUUUCAUAGCUCGAAUCUGUGACUUAUUGUUCUAAGAUAUUACAGUGAAAAACAAAAAUUAAAAGAAAUUUCUAAAGGGGAUUGAGAGUUCAAGUAAUGAGAAAAUAAGAAAAAAGAAACAAACCCAUUGUGAUUAUCAACAAAGCAACAAAGAAAGCAGACUUCAUAAGAGCUUUGGCCAUAUUUUAUCUUUACUAUUGCACUUUUUAAAGGAAAAUAAUAG